rnacentral:rRNA from 1 species
UGCAGUCGAGCGGAACGAAGAAAGCUUGCUUUUCAGGCGUCGAGCGGCGGACGGGUGAGUAACGCGUAGGAAUCUGCCUAGUAGUGGGGGACAACCUGUGGAAACGCAGGCUAAUACCGCAUAAUCCCUGAGGGGGAAAGGAGGGGAUCUUCGGACCUUUCGCUAUUAGAUGAGCCUGCGUGAGAUUAGCUAGUUGGUGAGGUAAAGGCUCACCAAGGCGACGAUCUCUAGCUGGUCUGAGAGGAUGAUCAGCCACACUGGGACUGAGACACGGCCCAGACUCCUACGGGAGGCAGCAGUGGGGAAUAUUGGACAAUGGGCGCAAGCCUGAUCCAGCCAUACCGCGUGUGUGAAGAAGGCCUUAGGGUUGUAAAGCACUUUCAGAAGGGAGGAAAGGUUAAUGUUUAAUACGCAUUAGCUGUGACGUUACCUUCAGAAGAAGCACCGGCUAACUCUGUGCCAGCAGCCGCGGAAAUA